GAGCACGUAGGUGGGUUUGUAAGUCAGAUGUGAAAGCCUUCUGUUCAACGGAAGAAUUGCAUCUGAAACUGCAAGUCUUGAGUGUAGGAGGGGAGAAUGGAACUUCUGGUGGAGCGGUGAAAUGCGUAGAUAUCAGAAGGAACGCCGGCGGCGAAAGCGAUUCUCUGGCCUAUUACUGACACUCAGUGCGCGAAAGCUAGGGGAGCAAACGGGAUAGAUACCCCGGUAGUCCUAGCCGUGAACGAUGGGCACUAAGUAGAGGGAAUUACCGAUGUUCUCUCUGCCGUAGCUAACGCAUUAAGUGCCCCGCCUGGGGAGUACGGCCGCAAGGCUAAAACUCAAAAGAAUUGACGGGGGCUCGCACAAGCGGUGGAGCAUGUGGCUUAAUUCGAUGCAACGCGAAAAACCUUACCGGGGCUUGACAUGGUAGAAGUAGGAACCCGAAAGGGUAACGAACGGUAUCCAGUCCGUAGCUAUCACAGGUGUUGCAUGGCUGUCGUCAGCUCGUGUCGUGAGACGUUGGGUUAAGUCCCCUAACGAGCGAAACCCUUGUUUUUAGUUACCAGCGGGUUAUGCCGGGUACUCUAGAAAGACUGCCGUCGUCAAGACGGAGGAAGGUGGGGAUGACGUCAAGUCAUCAUGGCCCUUAUGCCCCGGGCUGCACACGUGCUACAAUGGUCGGUACAAACGGAUGCGAAGCCGAGAGGUGAAGCGAAUCC
rnacentral:rRNA from 1 species